GAUCGAGUUGUAAUUUGAAGAAGCGUUUUCUGCGUAUUUGGUCAGCCCAAGUCCUAUUGAAUGAGGCAUCAUGGAGGGUGAUAAUCCCGUCCGGUUGAUCAUUUGCGUUUUACGAUACGCUUUCUAAGAGUCAAGUUGUUUGGGAUUGCAGCUUAAAAUGGGAGGUAAAUUUCUCCUAAGGCUAAAUAACGGCGAGAGACCGAUAGCGAACAAGUACC
rnacentral:rRNA from 1 species